rnacentral:pre_miRNA from 1 species
AGUUCAAUUGCUGGCUAGUAUGUUAAGUGUGUUUAAUCUUUAAGAAGCUACCAAACUGCUUUCCAGGGUGGCUGCACUAUUUAAUAUUUCUAAUGGCAAU